AGAGUUUGAUCCUGGCUCAGGAUGAACGCUGGCGGCGUGCCUAAUACAUGCAAGUCGAGCGAACCACUUCGGUGGUGAGCGGCGAACGGGUGAGUAACACGUAGGUUAUCUGCCCAUCAGACGGGGACAACGAUUGGAAACGAUCGCUAAUACCGGAUAGGACGAAAGUUUAAAGGUGCUUCGGCACCACUGAUGGAUGAGCCUGCGGCGCAUUAGCUAGUUGGUAGGGUAAAGGCCUACCAAGGCGACGAUGCGUAGCCGACCUGAGAGGGUGAACGGCCACACUGGGACUGAGACACGGCCCAGACUCCUACGGGAGGCAGCAGUAGGGAAUCUUCGGCAAUGGGCGAAAGCCUGACCGAGCAACGCCGCGUGAAUGAUGAAGGCCUUCGGGUUGUAAAAUUCUGUUAUAAGGGAAGAAUGGCUCUAGUAGGAAAUGGCUAGAGUGUGACGGUACCUUAUGAGAAAGCCACGGCUAACUACGUG
rnacentral:rRNA from 1 species